rnacentral:rRNA from 1 species
UACGGGGGGAGCAAGCGUUGUUCGGAUUUACUGGGCGUAAAGGGCGCGUAGGCGGCGUGACAAGUCACUUGUGAAAUCUCUGGGCUUAACCCAGAACGGCCAAGUGAUACUGUCGUGCUAGAGUGCGGAAGGGGCAAUCGGAAUUCUCGGUGUAGCGGUGAAAUGCGUAGAUAUCGAGAGGAACACCUGAGGUGAAGACGGGUUGCUGGGCCGACACUGACGCUGAGUGCGCGAAAGCCAGGGGAGCAAACGGG